UACGGAGGAUCCAAGCGUUAUCCGGAAUCAUUGGGUUUAAAGGGUCCGUAGGCGGUUUAAUAAGUCAGUGGUGAAAUACAAACGCUCAACGUUUGAACUGCCAUUGAUACUGUUAGACUUGAAUAUUUGUGAAGUAACUAGAAUAUGUAGUGUAGCGGUGAAAUGCUUAGAUAUUACAUGGAAUACCAAUUGCGAAGGCAGGUUACUAACAAAUGAUUGACGCUGAUGGACGAAAGCGUGGGUAGCGAACAGG
rnacentral:rRNA from 1 species